rnacentral:misc_RNA from 1 species
GUCGUAACAAGGUAGCCGUAUCGGAAGGUGCGGCUGGAUCACCUCCUUUCUGGAAAACAGCAUUCAAGAUUGAACGCCCACACUUAUCGGUUGUUGGAAGACAAGUGAAGUCGGUUGCAAGACCGGCCAGGGGUCUGUAGCUCAGCUGGUUAGAGCACCGUCUUGAUAAGGCGGGGGUCGUUGGUUCGAGCCCAACUAGACCCACCACAAUCUUCCGAACAUCCAGUGCAAGAGGAUCACAGGGGGAUUAGCUCAGCUGGGAGAGCACCUGCUUUGCAAGCAGGGGGUCGUCGGUUCGAUCCCGUCAUCCUCCACCAACACCUUAAAUCAACACCAAAGCAGCUUUGCAAGAGGCUGUUUUGUUGUUGAUCGAGAUAGUUCGAUCAAUCGGCUGUUCUUUAAAAAUUCAUAGAGUCGAAUCAGCGUUGCUAGCGGAAAGCACUGAGAGGUGCACCGUGCCGCUAGCAACCUAAAUUUGAUUGCGUCAAAACGAACGAAAGCAAUUUUGUUCAAGUAAUGACGAAUCGUUCUCUAGGCUGCGUUGAAAGACGCAACCGAAGAAACAUUCACAUUACGGCAUAACGCGCGAGGUGAAAGGCCUCGCAAGUCUUUGAACUCGAAAUGGCGAUUUCUUGCAAGAGAAGUCAAAGUUAUAGGGUCAAGUGACUAAGAGCAUGUGGUGGAUGCCUUGGC